rnacentral:lncRNA from 1 species
UAAACGUUUAAAUAUUUCUAUAAGGUCAUUUCCGAAUACAGUAGUCUCUCGAAAGUCUGACUUAUCUGAGAACAUUUUUUCUGUAAAUAAAUAUCUUUAUACUAACUAUAUAAAAAAAUAAUUAAAUUUUUCUGAUACUUAUAUUUGUUAAUCUUUUCUGUUUGUGUCUUUUUGUUAUUGGUUUUGACCAGUGUUUGUUUAACAAUUUUUGGUCACGAUGUAUAAAAUAAAUAAAUAAAAAAUCUUAUGGGCCACAUUUCCGUCCUAUAGUCGAUAACAGGUUACCACACUGGCAGCCAAAUACGUUGAUUGGUUAGCCCAAAAGAACGGCCGACCAAUCUAGCUAUUAGUCCCUCUAAUUUUAGACCACCGUCCGGGCUUUAAACUCGGUACGGAUGGCCUCCCACACCGGAUAAAAGACACCAGUGGCACAUAAGCAAAGCGUCCAUAUAGGCGUACCGUUGACGGCGCCUUAGCUAUAAUAGGGUAACCCCAGCCCGGGUCCGAUAAUCAGCGCCCAGCCUUUUCUUAUUAAUGCCGAUCAAAUUUACCGGCCGGCUUUAAUAGGGACCGAUAAUCGGGCCAUAAAAAGUAUCGUAAGUUUAUCUUCCGACCGUCGGAACGAGCGACAAGAACAGAGAUUAGCGUUAAAAAUACCGACAGGGAAGAAAUUCUCUGGGGGUGAGAAACGGUGGACCGGAAAAAUAUCUGACCGGACCCAUCGACCACCAUAUUUUUCCCAGGGAAGAAGGCUACUACCUACGUUUAGCCAUCUUUCCACCCGAGUUUAGUUGGGCGCUAUCCAAUUUUACUCGGAGGAUGGGGCUGUUGGGAUGGUACCCGCCAUUAUUCACUCUACCGAUAACAUUGGAUGAAUUAAUAAAGUUGGAAUGGAUUGGAUGGGAUACGAGUUUAAUCCAAACGCGCCUAUGGAUCAACCAGGAUAAAACCGUGACUAAACUUAAUUUUAGAUAGGCUCCGUUGGCCCAGGGAAAGCCUGGUCGGACCAAUUAUAUACCGGCGGUUUUUUCCUCUGUUCCGGUGAUUAGCCGAACGGAAAUUGGUCGGCCCCGAAGUUUUUCCGGCCGCCGUGACGGGUGGUGGUUCCGCCCGCUGGCUUAAAGGCGCCAGCUCUAGCCGUCCCUCGGCGCCGUUCGGGCCUUCUCUACUCCGCCCGUUAAAAUCCCUUCCGCCACUGGCCCAUACCAAAAACAAGUUCUUAAAACAAAGAAGAAUGAACAUUCCGUUUACUUUCGACCACUAGAAUAAAAUAUGACCAGCCUGGUCUAGCACUUAAAUUACAUUUUUGACAUACACCGGUUCCGGUUGAUUAAUAUUUUUUUCCAAUGGCUGGCCUACCGUUUCCGUGGCUAAAAUAUCAACAAAAAUUGAUAUUACUGGGUAUCGAUCGGCCAGCCGCCGUUGGGAUUUUUUUUUUUUUUGCAUAUUUUACGCCUCUUUCCCAUCGGGGAGACAACUAAGGACGGGGCCAGUUCCCACCACUUAUGUGGAACAGGACCGGAUGGUGAAGGAGGGCCAUGGCCGGGCCGGACCCGGCACCCCUAAAAUCUUUCCGGGAGUUAUCGGACCCGAGAGGCCCAGUCGGGUCCCGCGCCUGGCCGGCCCACCGCCCGACCCCUCGGCCGUCCGGCCGCCGCCGUUGGGAUUUAGGCCCAAAUUAUUUUUAAUCGAUGAAAAAAAUGACUUUGUCGAUUUUCGUGUCGUAAAACAAUUUUGCAUUUAUAUAAUAUUUGAAUGCGUUAUAGUCAUUAAUCGCGCUUUCUUAUUAACGUAACAAUAAUAAAAUAAUAGAAAAGUAACAAUAGAUAGCGAAUCUUACUUUUUAGCGCGAUAACUUACGUAACAAUUUUGUUAUCAUCAGGCAAAUGCCAAUGUACGCGACAUUUAGCGCAUUUUAUUGGAGAAAAUCCUUCUACGCCUGUCUUACACCUUUUUUUUAUUGGCCGGUGGGGGCCAGCGCCCGUAAUUAUUAAGUCGAAUGUGGGCGGUAAGUGCCGGUGUUAGGCAUUUUUUUUGUUUCUGCUUUUCUCUUUUUUGUUUUAUAUGUGCGUUUCCCGUUUUCUUACCAGGAAUGUCGGCUUUGGUAGGCUACUGACCAUUUUGGCCCAAAAAUCCAGAAACUUCGGUUGGUCUCUGACCCGUAUUGGUCCGAAAAUAGGCUAAAUAUUUUUAUUCGAAGCAAAAAUUAGCUGAAGAAAAAUAAUUUCUCGUUUUAUAAAUGGAC